rnacentral:rRNA from 1 species
AUUGAACGCUGGCGGCAUGCCUUACACAUGCAAGUCGAACGGUAACAGGUCUUCGGAUGCUGACGAGUGGCGAACGGGUGAGUAAUACAUCGGAACGUGCCCGAUCGUGGGGGAUAACGAGGCGAAAGCUUUGCUAAUACCGCAUACGAUCUACUGAUUAAAACGGGGGAUCUUCGGACCUCGCGCGGACGGAGCGGCCGAUGGCAGAUUAGGUAGUUGGUGGGUUAAAAGCUUACCAAGCCGACGAUCUGUAGCUGGUCUGAGAGGAUGAUCAGCCACACUGGGACUGAGACACGGCCCAGACUCCUACGGGAGGCAGCAGUGGGGAAUUUUGGACAAUGGGCGAAAGCCUGAUCCAGCCAUGCCGCGUGCAGGAUGAAGGCCUUCGGGUUGUAAACUGCUUUUGUACGGAACGAAAAGCCUCUUUCUAAUAAAGAGGGGUCAUGACGGUACCGUAAGAAUAAGCACCGGCUAACUACGUG